GGGGAUUGAACCUAGGGGUGCUCUACCACUGAACUUGUUCUUUUUAAAAAAUGUCUUUUUUUAGUUGUAGUUUAUUUUUAUGUGCUGCUAAGGAUCAAAUCCCGUGCCUCACAUGUGCUAGGUGAGCACUCUACCACUGAGUCACAACCCCAGCCCUCAGACCUUGUUCUUGUUAUUUUUUUUAUUUAGAAACAGGAUCUUUUUAAGUAACUAAGGUUAGCCUCGAACUUGUGACCCUCCUGCCUCAGCCUCCUGAUAUGCUGGGCUUACAGUUGUGGGCUUCUAUACCCAGUUACUUCCUUUUCUUAUGGAAUGAAAUAAUGGCUAAGAGUGCAAUUUAGGGUAGCAUGGUAGCUGCAUGUUUAAUUUUUUACAAACUGCUAUUUUUUUUCCAGAUUAGCUGUACUAUCUUACAUUCCCACCAGCAAUGCAUGAGUUUUUCUCUAAAUCCUUGACAGUAUUUGGUGGCAUCACUAUUUUUUAUUUUAGCCAUUCUGAUAGGCAUAUAGUACUAGCUCAUUGAAAUUUAGUUUGCAUUUCCUUAAUGGUGUUGAACAUCUUUUCACAUGCUCAUUUGCCUUCAACAUAUUCUCUUCUGUGAACUAUGUGGAAAUCUUUUCCAAUUUUCUAACAGGAUUUAUUUUAAUAAACUUUUAAUUAUUUUUUUUGGUAUUGGGGAUUGAACCCAUAUGUGCUCUACCACUGAACUGUCCCCCUUAACCCUUUCUAUUUUUUAUAUAGGGUCUCAAGUUGCCGAGGCUUGCUUCCAACUUGCAGUCCUUGAGCCAUUCCUCAGCUUCCUGAGUCGCUUCCUGAGUCCUUAGGAUUACAAGGGUGUGCCACCAUGCCUGGCUAAACUUAAUUUUGGAGUAGUUCAUAUUUAUAAAAAAAUUGCUAUAUUGUAGAGAGUUUUGCAUACACUCCUCAUCCAUUUCCCUCUUAUUAAAGUUUAUGCUUUAUUUAGAUUUCCUUAAUUUUCCCCUAUCCUUUUUUUUCUUCCAAGAUUCCUUCUAGGAUACAUUGCAUUUGAUCACCAUGGCCCCUUAGGGCAUUUUUGCUGUGACAGUUUCUCUGGCUUUUCUUGUUUUUGGGUAGCAUGGAAGUUGCAUGUUUAAUUUUUUAAACAUGACAUUUGACAUUUUUGAGGAACACUAGUCAGGUAUUUAUUAGUAGACUGUCCCUCUGUUGGGAUUUUUCUGAUAUUUAUCUCAUUAUUAAACUAGAGCUUUGGGUUUCAGGGAGGAUGAUUAGAG
rnacentral:lncRNA from 1 species